rnacentral:rRNA from 1 species
CCUACGGGAGGCAGCAGUGAGGAAUAUUGGUCAAUGGACGAGAGUCUGAACCAGCCAAGUAGCGUGAAGGAUGACUGCCCUAUGGGUUGUAAACUUCUUUUAUAUGGGAAUAAAAUGUUCCACGUGUGGGAUUUUGUAUGUACCAUAUGAAUAAGGAUCGGCUAACUCCGUGCCAGCAGCCGCGGUAAUACGGAGGAUCCGAGCGUUAUCCGGAUUUAUUGGGUGUAAAGGGAGCGUAGGUGGAUUGUUAAGUCAGUUGUGAAAGUUUGCGGCUCAACCGUAAAAUUGCAGUUGAAACUGGCAGUCUUGAGUACAGUAGAGGUGGGCGGAAUUCGUGGUGUAGCGGUGAAAUGCUUAGAUAUCACGAAGAACUCCGAUUGCGAAGGCAGUUCACUGGACUGCAACUGACACUGAGGCUCGAAAGUGUGGGUAUCAAACAGGAUUAGAUACCCGGAUAGUC